UCGCCCUUAGAGUUUGAUCCUGGCUCAGGAUGAACGCUGACAGAAUGCUUAACACAUGCAAGUCGAUUCGAUUUACCUUCGGGUAUUGAGGAUGGCGGACGGGUGAGUAACGCGUAAGGAACUUGCCUCUUGGACUGGGACAACUGUUGGAAACGACAGCUAAUACCGGAUAUUAUGAGAUUCUCGCAUGAGAAACUUAUGAAAGCUAUAUGCGCCAAGAGAGAGCCUUGCGUUCCAUUAGCUAGUUGGUGGGGUAAUGGCCCACCAAGGCGACGAUGGAUAGCCGGCCUGAGAGGGUGAACGGCCACAAGGGGACUGAGACACGGCCCUUACUCCUACGGGAGGCAGCAGUGGGGAAUAUUGGACAAUGGGCCACAAGCCUGAUCCAGCAAUUCUGUGUGCACGAUGAAGGUCUUCGGAUUGUAAAGUGCUUUCAGUUGGGAAGAAGAAAGUGACGGUACCAACAGAAGAAGCGACGGCUAAAUACGUGCCAGCAGCCGCGGUAAUACGUAUGUCGCAAGCGUUAUCCGGAUUUAUUGGGCGUAAAGCGCGUCUAGGCGGAAAAAUAAGUCUGAUGUUAAAAUGCGGGGCUCAACUCCGUAUUGCGUUGGAAACUGUUUUUCUAGAGUACUGGAGAGGUGGGCGGAACUACAAGUGUAGAGGUGAAAUUCGUAGAUAUUUGUAGGAAUGCCGAUGGAGAAGUCAGCUCACUGGACAGAUACUGACGCUGAAGCGCGAAAGCGUGGGGAGCAAACAGGAUUAGAUACCCUGGUAGUCCACGCCGU
rnacentral:rRNA from 1 species